AAACAAAAACAAGCAGACCUGAACACGCACCCUACAUCAACACGAUAGAACUCUCUCUUCUGAUCAGCGCUGCAUCUAGGGCUCACGUCAGCUCACGCCUUCUUUCGAUCGUCUUCCUCUGCUCUCUCCUGCGACCGACUAGUCGAGUGCGCGCCGUUACACAAGCUCCGUCUCAGCCAACACUGCGUCGUUUUCGGAUUGAUAUAUGCAUCGGGCGAGGCAGGCUGCGCUUCUCAUUUCUCUUUUUACACCCCUCCUUUUUUUUAUGAUUGGUGCGCUUGAUUCUCUUUUUCUUUGGGCACGUGCCCGCCCGAUCUCUCUUCUCUCUUGCCCAUCUUUUCCCUUCGGACAUCAUGGGUUGCUUCAACUCAACCGACACCGUGGCCGAUCAGGACCCCGCGAGUGGGUACAUGUACACGAAGCCCAAGGCGAAGGGGACAAAGGAGGCGCUCUUCGGCGGACUUCUCUACCGCAUUACCGACGAGGAAGAGGGCGGCUUGGCCUUCUACAACAACUCGAAGGACUACGAGUUUCACAUCAAGUACCUGUUUGGCGCCGAUAGUCAGCUGAGCGCGGUGGGCGACACCAAGCUCGAGAUGCAGGAUGACGGCAUUCUCGCCGAGGUGGUCGUCUACCCGUUGGAGACGAAGCACUUUGUGCAGGGCACAAUCGACGGCUAUGAGAGCAAGCUCGAGGCACUGCCGCUGUCAGAGGAGUACUUUGCGCAGCACCCGGAGAUGGAUGAGGCGGCCUACUACCGCCGUCUCGAGGCACCCAAAAGCAGCCAAUUUUAAGCCUUCCUCCGAGGAAGAUGUGAUGGAGUCACCUCCCUCUCCACACCCGUGUCUCUUCGCGUCUUCGCAGAAAGCGGGGGCGGUGCUGCUGGUGCCUGCGCGUGUGCCCGUCCUCUUCUUUCUCCUCUAUUUGCCUUUGAUUGCUCGCCUGCCUCAUCCCCUCUACGUUUUUAUGUGCACACCGGCGAUGUUCUUCCGCCUCUCUCUCUCUGUGUAUGCAUGCAUGCGUGUGUGUGUGUGCGGGAGAAGGGGCGCGUCUUCGUUAUCUCUUCUGUGUGACCGCCUAUCCACUUCCAUGCGGAUGCGAGAGACGAGAAGGCUGGUGGUGGUGGGGGCGGCAGAGGUGUUUCUUCUUUGUUCGAUAGCGUAUCCGUAGUGGCGUGCCCCUCUCCUUGUUGCGCGUUGUGUUUUUCAUGUGCUCCCACAGUUUGUCUGUGACACCGCUCCGCCACUUGACGGCGAAAGGCAACGACAGAUGACCAAUGACCAAUUCGCUCUCCACAGCGAAAAGGGGGAGAGGAUAAAAGUGGAAAGCAGCGCAGCAACACAGAAAGAAAACGGCGGCGACGGAAAGAACGCCGCUCGAUGUAUUCGCCUUCAGCUCUUCUCUUUUUCAUACGUUUUUACCAUGUGUGUCUGUUUUCAUUUUCAAGGUUUGCCAGCCUCCCUCGCUUUUCCAUCCAUGUGCGCAGCCUAUUCUCCCUCGCCUUUUUCGUCUUGUUUGCUCUUGCACAUUGCUGCCAUCGUUUUUUUCUUGUUUGCUUCGCUCUUCUUUUCCAGGACGGGGCCACCCCCCCUCGUGACGUGUGGACCCCGCUCAGUGCGCCGUAUCUCAAAGUCCACUACCCACGCACUGUGUGGUGAAGCCAAGCAGCCCUCCCCAGCCCUAUCCCCUGCCGGAUGCAGAACCACCUCUGGUGGUGACAUGGCCAGGCCCUGGAUGGCGUUGCGUUGGAGCGACCUGCGACAGUGGGUCAGCGUACACGUCUGCGCCAUCCACGUGACAGGCAGAGCGUCAGCGUGACGCGAGCGCAUAUCCCACCCCCGGCCCUCGCGCUGCCUACAGCGGUGUGGGGGAGGCCUGAGGCACCCCGAGGGGAGGAUGCACCAGGCGGCGACCGGCAUGAUGCGGGAGCGGCGGUGAGGCGUGUCUAGGGCUGCUUCUCACCACGCGAUGUGAGGCCUGUGACAGGCCUGGCCGAGUGGUGUUCAGCGCAUGCUCUGUGGCAGAAUGGACACCUUGAAUGAAGGAUUUGUAUGUACGCUGCUUCUCCAUCAGAUAGUGAUCUUGAUGAUCGCGCAUGUUCCGUUGUUGCCUCUCCUCCCUUCCCCCGCCCCUCUCUUUUUCUCUCUGUUGCACACGCUUAAUGUGGAUGUUGGGCGGUGUUGUGCGUGUGGUGGUCGCUGCAGAUAACUUUUCUUCGUUCUGUCUCAUGUUUUUUUUUUUCUCAGAGGGAGGAGGGAGGGGAGAUGUUGUAUGUCUUGUGUGCGCGUGCGUUGUUUGCUCCGCUCUUCACCUCACUUCGCUCUCUUCAUCUGUGUACUCAUGAAGUGUACGUGUAACUCCCCCUCUUUGUGUGUGUGUGCGCCUCUAUGUCUUCAGUGAUGCAUGGGGAUGAAGCUCCUUCCCCAGUCGUUCUCUCUAAAUUUCCAGCUCUCCUCUUUCAGGGCAACACCUAUUCUUUUCUUUUUGUUAAUGCCCUCUCUCUCUUGUAUGUGGGUUGAUAUUUUCGGGUGGGUGGGGUUGAGUGCUGUCGCUUGUUUUCUCUCGCCGUUUUUUUUUUGUUUCCUUGCUUUCCUUUCCUUUCAUCCUCCCUCCGCUUCUCGCCGUCUCUCAAGCUUCCCGCAUUUUUGGUCGUGUGUGCAUUCAAGAUGUCGUCGAGGGCUGCAACGCUGGCAAGAACAGCAAAAACG
rnacentral:misc_RNA from 1 species